UACAGAGGUGGCAAGCGUUGUUCGGAAUUACUGGGCGUAAAGGGCGCGUAGGCGGUUCGUUAAGUCCUGUGUGAAAUCCCCCGGCUCAACUGGGGAUCUGCACAGGAAACUAGCGGGCUUGAGUUCGGGAGAGGGAAGCGGAAUUCCGGGUGUAGCGGUGAAAUGCGUAGAUAUCCGGAGGAACACCGGUGGCGAAGGCGGCUUCCUGGACCGACACUGACGCUGAGGCGCGAAAGCUAGGGGAGCAAACAGG
rnacentral:rRNA from 1 species